AGCACGGGAGCAAUCCUGGUGGCGAGUGGCGAACGGGUGAGUAAUGUAUCGGAACGUACCUUUCAGUGGGGGAUAACGUAGCGAAAGUUACGCUAAUACCGCAUAUUCUGUGAGCAGGAAAGCAGGGGAUCGCAAGACCUUGCGCUGAUUGAGCGGCCGAUAUCAGAUUAGCUAGUUGGUGAGGUAAAGGCUCACCAAGGCGACGAUCUGUAGCGGGUCUGAGAGGAUGAUCCGCCACACUGGAACUGAGACACGGUCCAGACUCCUACGGGAGGCAGCAGUGGGGAAUUUUGGACAAUGGGCGCAAGCCUGAUCCAGCCAUGCCGCGUGAGUGAAGAAGGCCUUCGGGUUGUAAAGCUCUUUCAGCCGGGAAGAAAACGCAUGGGUUAAUACCCUGUGUGGAUGACGGUACCGGAAUAAGAAGCACCGGCUAACUACGUGCCAGCAGCCGCGGUAAUACGUAGGGUGCGAGCGUUAAUCGGAAUUACUGGGCGUAAAGCGUGCGCAGGCGGUUUGUUAAGAUAGGCGUGAAAUCCCCGGGCUCAACCUGGGAACUGCGUUUAUGACUGGCAGGCUAGAGUAUGGCAGAGGGGGGUGGAAUUCCACGUGUAGCAGUGAAAUGCGUAGAGAUGUGGAGGAACACCGAUGGCGAAGGCAGCCCCCUGGGCCAAUACUGACGCUCAUGCACGAAAGCGUGGGUAGCAAACAGGAUUAGAUACCCUGGUAGUCCACGCCCUAAACGAUGUCAACUAGGUGUUGGGGGAGGAGACUUCCUUAGUACCGGAGCUAACGCGUGAAGUUGACCG
rnacentral:rRNA from 1 species